UCCGAUAUGGUCUAGUGGCUAGGAUUUGUCGCUCUCAUCGAGGUUCCGCCUCUCGAGCGCCGACAAGGCCCGGGUUCGAUUCCCGGUGUCGGAA
rnacentral:tRNA from 1 species